rnacentral:rRNA from 1 species
UACGGGGGGGGCAAGCGUUGUUCGGAAUUACUGGGCGUAAAGGGCGCGUAGGCGGCCUUCUAAGUCGGACGUGAAAUCCCUCGGCUCAACCGAGGAACUGCGUCCGAUACUGAAAGGCUUGAAUCCGGGAGAGGGAUGUGGAAUUCCAGGUGUAGCGGUGAAAUGCGUAGAUAUCUGGAGGAACACCGGUGGCGAAGGCGGCUUUCUGGGCAUUACCUGACGCUGAGGCGCGAAAGCGUGGGGAGCGAACCGG